rnacentral:rRNA from 1 species
UGGGGAAUAUUGCACAAUGGGCGAAAGCCUGAUGCAGCAACGCCGCGUGAGGGAUGACGGCCUUCGGGUUGUAAACCUCUUUUAGUAGGGAAGAAGCGAAAGUGACGGUACCUGCAGAAAAAGCACCGGCUAACUACGUGCCAGCAGCCGCGGUAAUACGUAGGGUGCAAGCGUUGUCCGGAAUUAUUGGGCGUAAAGAGCUCGUAGGCGGUUUGUCGCGUCUGCUGUGAAAUCCCGAGGCUCAACCUCGGGUCUGCAGUGGGUACGGGCAGACUAGAGUGUGGUAGGGGAGAUUGGAAUUCCUGGUGUAGCGGUGGAAUGCGCAGAUAUCAGGAGGAACACCGAUGGCGAAGGCAGAUCUCUGGGCCAUUACUGACGCUGAGGAGCGAAAGCAUGGAGAGCGAACA